rnacentral:rRNA from 1 species
GAGUUUGAUCCUGGCUCAGAUUGAACGCUGGCGGCAGGCUUAACACAUGCAAGUCGAACGGUAACAUGAGUGCUUGCACUUGAUGACGAGUGGCGGACGGGUGAGUAAUGUAUGGGGAUCUGCCGAAUGGAUUGGGACAACAGUUGGAAACGACUGCUAAUACCGAAUAAUGUUGCGAGACCAAAGGGUGCUUACGGGCACUUGCCAUUUGAUGAACCCAUAUGAGAUUAGCUAGUUGGUGGGGUAAAGGCUCACCAAGGCGACGAUCUCUAGCUGGUCUGAGAGGAUGACCAGUCACACUGGAACUGAGACACGGUCCAGACUCCUACGGGAGGCAGCAGUGGGGAAUAUUGCACAAUGGGGGAAACCCUGAUGCAGCCAUGCCGCGUGUAUGAAGAAGGCCUUAGGGUUGUAAAGUACUUUCGGUGAUGAGGAAGUUAUGUGUGGGAUAAGCACAUAUAAUUGACGUUAGUUACAGAAGAAGCACCGGCUAACUCCGUGCCAGCAGCCGCGGUAAUACGGAGGGUGCGAGCGUUAAUCGGAAUGACUGGGCGUAAAGGGCAUGUAGGCGGAUAAUUAAGUUAGGUGUGAAAGCCCUGGGCUCAACCUAGGAAUUGCACUUAAAACUGGCUAACUAGAGUAUUGUAGAGGAAGGUAGAAUUCCACGUGUAGCGGUGAAAUGCGUAGAGAUGUGGAGGAAUACCGGUGGCGAAGGCGGCCUUCUGGACAGAUACUGACGCUGAGAUGCGAAAGCGUGGGGAGCAAACAGGAUUAGAUACCCUGGUAGUCCACGCUGUAAACGAUGUCGAUUUGGAGUUUGUUGCCUAGAGUGAUGGGCUCCGAAGCUAACGCGAUAAAUCGACCGCCUGGGGAGUACGGCCGCAAGGUUAAAACUCAAAUGAAUUGACGGGGGCCCGCACAAGCGGUGGAGCAUGUGGUUUAAUUCGAUGCAACGCGAAGAACCUUACCUGGUCUUGACAUCCACAGAAUCUUGCAGAGAUGCGAGAGUGCCUUCGGGAACUGUGAGACAGGUGCUGCAUGGCUGUCGUCAGCUCGUGUUGUGAAAUGUUGGGUUAAGUCCCGCAACGAGCGCAACCCUUAUCCUUUGUUGCCAGCGAUUCGGUCGGGAACUCAAAGGAGACUGCCGUUGAUAAAGCGGAGGAAGGUGGGGACGACGUCAAGUCAUCAGGGCCCUUACGACCAGGGCUACACACGUGCUACAAUGGCGUAUACAAAGGGAGGCGA